UACGGAGGGUGCGAGCGUUGUCCGGAAUCACUGGGCGUAAAGGGCGCGUAGGCGGCCUGAUAAGUAGGGGGUGAAAUCCUGCGGCUUAACCGCAGGGCUGCCUUCUAAACUGUCAGGCUAGAGCACAGUAGAGGCAGGUGGAAUUCCCGGUGUAGCGGUGGAAUGCGUAGAGAUCAGGAGGAACACCCAUGGCGAAGGCAGCUCUCUGGCUUCACCCUGACGCUGAGGCGCGAAAGCGUGGGGAGCGAACGGG
rnacentral:rRNA from 1 species